ACGACUAAUUGCAAUCACCUGGGCGUGCGGGCUGGGGGUCAUGGGUACGUAACUUCCUUCCCGACAAACACAAAAGAAGCUCUCCCAAAUUGUUUGGUACGCAAGUUGCUUGUCGCUGGUCGGUACAAACCGCGCACUUCAUGCUGGGUUUUGGUUGCGAACAACUCUCUCGCUGUGGUCUGGACUGUCAUCUCCUUCCUACUCCUGUUUCCCUGUGACUACCAAUGCGAAUGCUGAACGUGGAGCUGACACACUUCCCUCCUCUGCUCCUGUUCCCCUGGGCUAGCUCGCAUUGUGGAAAAGGCCGAGGUAGGCAUUGGUUAUUGUUCUAACAGUGUAACGGUCCUAUUUUAAAUAUGUAUCUGGUACAAUGUUUUCUUUUUUUUCCAUGUCGCUUGACUUAUGAACAAUUAAACUUCAUAAAAACUGUUGUGUAUUGUUAUGAAAUGCGUGGACCAGGGUGUUAAACGU